GCCGCGUGCGGGAUGAAGGCCUUCGGGUUGUAAACCGCUUUUGUCAGAGACGAAAAGGGACGUACGAAUAAUACGUUCCGCUGACGGUAUCUGAAGAAUAAGCACCGGCUAACUACGUGCCAGCAGCCGCGGUAAUACGUAGGGUGCAAGCGUUAAUCGGAAUUACCGGGCGUAAAGGGUGCGCAGGCGGCUGUGCAAGACAGAUGUGAAAUCCCCGGGCUUAACCUGGGAACUGCAUUUGUGACUGCACGGCUAGAGUUUGUCAGAGGAGGGUGGAAUUCCGCGUGUAGCAGUGAAAUGCGUAGAUAUGCGGAAG
rnacentral:rRNA from 1 species